GCGAAAGUGGCGGAAUUGGUAGACGCACCGGAUUUAGGAUCCGGCGCCGCAAGGCGUGGGGGUUCGAGUCCCCCCUUUCGCA
rnacentral:tRNA from 1 species